rnacentral:rRNA from 1 species
ACGCUCGACACCUACGGGAGGCAGCAGUGGGGAAUAUUGCACAAUGGAGGAAACUCUGAUGCAGCGAUGCCGCGUGAGGGAAGAAGGUUUUCGGAUUGUAAACCUCUGUCUUUGGGGACGAUAAUGACGGUACCCAAGGAGGAAGCUCCGGCUAACUACGUACCAGCAGCCGCGGUAAUCUGAGGCGGGCUGGCAAGGC